UACGAAGGGGCUAGCGUUGCUCGGAAUGACUGGGCGUAAAGGGCGCGUAGGCGGAUGGCACAGUCAGAUGUGAAAUUCCCGGGCUUAACCUGGGGGCUGCAUUUGAUACGUGUGAUCUAGAGUGAGGAAGAGGGUCGUGGAAUUCCCAGUGUAGAGGUGAAAUUCGUAGAUAUUGGGAAGAACACCGGUGGCGAAGGCGGCGACCUGGUCCUUGACUGACGCUGAGGCGCGAAAGCGUGGGGGAGCAAAAAGG
rnacentral:rRNA from 1 species